UACGUAGGUGGCGAGCGUUGUCCGGAUUUACUGGGUGUAAAGGAUGCGUAGGCGGAUAUUCAAGUCAGAUGUGAAAAUCCCGGGCUUAACUUGGGAACUGCAUUUGAAACUGGGUAUCUGGAGUGCAGGAGAGGUGAGCGGAAUUCCUAGUGUAGCGGUGAAAUGCGUAGAGAUUAGGAAGAACACCGGUGGCGAAGGCGGCUCACUGGACUGUAACUGACGCUGAGGCAUGAAAGCGUGGGUAGCAAACAGG
rnacentral:rRNA from 1 species